UGGGGAAUAUUGGACAAUGGGCGCAAGCCUGCUCCAGCCAUGCCGCGUGAGUGAUGAAGGCCCUAGGGUUGUAAAGCUCUUUCACCGGUGAAGAUAAUGACGGUAACCGGAGAAGAAGCCCCGGCUAACUUCGUGCCAGCAGCCGCGGUAAUACGAAGGGGGCUAGCGUUGUUCGGAUUUACUGGGCGUAAAGCGCACGUAGGCGGACUAUUAAGUCAGGGGUGAAAUCCCGGGGCUCAACCCCGGAACUGCCUUUGAUACUGGUAGUCUUGAGUUCGGGAGAGGUGAGUGGAAUUCCGAGUGUAGAGGUGAAAUUCGUAGAUAUUCGGAGGAACACCAGUGGCGAAGGCGGCUCACUGGCUCGAUACUGACGCUGAGGUGCGAAAGCGUGGGGAGCAAACAGG
rnacentral:rRNA from 1 species